rnacentral:rRNA from 1 species
UACGUAGGCAGCAAGCGUUGUUCGGAGUUACUGGGCGUAAAGGGUGUGUAGGCGGUUAUUUAAGUUUGGUGUGAAAUCUCCCGCUCAACCGGGAGGGUGCGCCGAAUACUGAAUGACUUGGAGUGCGGGAGAGGAAAGUGGAAUUCCUGGUGUAGCGGUGAAAUGCGUAGAUAUCAGGAGGAACACCGAUUGCGAAGGCAGCUCACAAAACUAUAACUGACGCUGAGGCACGAAAGCGUGGGUAUCAAACAGG